rnacentral:tRNA from 1 species
AGAGGCUUAGGAUAACGCUAGUCCAAGGGCCUUCAAAGCCCUCAGUGGGGGUGAAAGUCCCUCAGCCCCUG